UUUCACUGUUUUGCAGACAGUGAACUUACAAAUCCUACCUGUAGCUCACAUCUACACAUUCAGACACACGUACACAGGCCAGCCAGGCGGGUUCAGCUAAUCUUCUUAGCAAUCACAAGGUUUGACUGUUGGGAAAGACCAAAGUUCACAUCAUCAGCCAAUGAGAGUGAGACAGAGAGAGAAAAAAACAAUCAUAGAAAAAUAGACAGAUAAAAAAAGACACAUACAAGAAGAAACUGGGAGAACACUGGGCCUCCACUCAAAAUCUAACCACCAGAGAAAUAUGAAUAUGACUAAAGACGACUUUCAGUACAAAUAACUCACUCACUCGCUCAGUGUUUGGUUGUUAUCUGCAAGUCUUCUUCUCCACCGAGCCAUCAUUCAAAUCUGCAUUUUAAAGGAACCUGAAAACUGAGCAGUAUGCAGGUGCUGAGUGGGCCCUGGGCUGAUCUGGCUCUUCUCUUCCGACAGACAGUCACACAGACAGAUGGAGAGUCAGACAGCUUUCUUCCUCUCUGGCUGUUGGGCCUGGUGUUGUUCUUGUCCGUCUGUCUGCUGCUGCUGCAACUCAUUAUCUAUCUCAGCUGGAAACUCAGACAGGUGGAGUCUGGCCUGUCAGGGUUUCCACAGGACAGAAGCGCCAUCUACAGACCGAUGAACCAAAGUGCACACAUGAGGAGGAGGAGGAGCAUCGGAUAGCACUAACACACCUGACAGGACACACAAACAUCUAUGGACAGA